GCGUUGUUCGGAAUUACUGGGCGUAAAGAGUAUGUAGGCGGAUAUUUAAGUCAGAUGUGAAAUUCCCGGGCUUAACCUGGGAGCUGCAUUUGAUACUGGAUAUCUAGAGUGCGGGAGAGGAAAGUGGAAUUCCUAGUGUAGCGGUGAAAUGCGUAGAGAUUAGGAAGAACACCAGUGGCGAAGGCGACUUUCUGGACCGUAACUGACGCUGAGAUACGAAAGCGUGGGGGAGC
rnacentral:rRNA from 1 species